CGGGAUGUAGUACAGCCAGGUAGUACACUCGUUUAGGGUGCGAGAGGUCGUCAGUUCGAAUCUGGCCAUCCCGA
rnacentral:tRNA from 1 species